rnacentral:lncRNA from 1 species
CUUGAACAACUGGAGAAGGCCAAGACAGAGAAGAAAAGGCCAGCUGCGGUUCCAGCCAACAAACGAACACGUGCCAGCAAUGGUGGCCCAAUGCCCCCAGCCAAGGCUGGUCGCUUGACGAAUGCAUAUGUGUCAUCUUUUCCUGCACCUCCAACUUUUGUCAGGUCUCCCUCACAUACACAAUACCCUACUGGGGUACCGGCAUAUCCUUCUCCACCGGCUGUUUAUGGCAGCAGGAGUCCACCAUCUCCAUAUGCUUACUCUCCUGAGGCUGCCGCUCCAAUUGCUGGGUCAUACCCUGUAGCUCCUUUGAAUUAUCCAGCAUAUGGAGGGUAUGGCAAUGGUUUCGCACCAGCUUAUCAGCAGGCUUACUACCGAUAGACAUGACUACUC